UUUAAUUUUGAAAAAUUUAAAACUUGGUCUGGCUCAACAAAUUUACAGAAGACCGUUUACAGCAAAACUUAAACAA
rnacentral:tRNA from 1 species